UGAGGAAUAUUGGUCAAUGGGCGAGAGCCUGAACCAGCCAAGUAGCGUGCAGGAUGACGGCCCUAUGGGUUGUAAACUGCUUUUAUGUGGGGAUAAAGUGCGUGACGUGUCAUGCAUUGCAGGUACCACAUGAAUAAGGACCGGCUAAUUCCGUGCCAGCAGCCGCGGUAAUACGGAAGGUCCGGGCGUUAUCCGGAUUUAUUGGGUUUAAAGGGAGCGUAGGCUGUCUAUUAAGCGUGUUGUGAAAUUUACCGGCUCAACCGGUGGCUUGCAGCGCGAACUGGUCGACUUGAGUAUGCAGGAAGUAGGCGGAAUUCAUGGUGUAGCGGUGAAAUGCUUAGAUAUCAUGACGAACUCCGAUUGCGCAGGCAGCUUACUGUAGCAUAACUGACGCUGAUGCUCGAAAGUGCGGGUAUCGAACAGG
rnacentral:rRNA from 1 species